rfam:Oryza sativa Japonica Group DNA, chromosome 7, cultivar: Nipponbare, complete sequence.
AAUAAAUAAACCCUGAUUUCCGUGUCCAACGUUUGACCGUCCGUCUUAUUUGAAAAAAUUAUAAAAAAAAUUAAAAAGACAAGUCACGCAUAAAGUAUUAAUCAUAUUUUAUCAUCUAACAACAAUGAAAAUACUAAUUAUAAAAAAAAUUCAUAUAAGACGGACAGUCAAACGUUGGACAUGGAAACCUAGAGUUUGUCUUUUU